rnacentral:snoRNA from 1 species
AUUCCAUGGUGUGGACAUUUUCGCAACAUAUUCUUGAACCUAUUCCAAGCUUCAUUGAAAUUCUCCAAGUCACCUUGACGGAAGACAGAAAUGUCGUGCUUGAGCUU